rfam:Sediminibacillus halophilus strain CGMCC 1.6199 genome assembly, contig: Ga0079860_103
UCGUGCUAGGUGGGGAGGUAGCGGUGCCCUGUACUCGCAAUCCGCUAUAGCGAGGCUGAAUCCCCAUCCGAGGUAGUAUGACUUUAAGGUCUGCCUUAAGGGAUUGGUGCUGACACCCGGGUCCUGCGCAACGGGAACCCGUGAACCCUGUCAGGUCCGGAAGGAAGCAGCAGUAAGCGGUACUUCCUGUGUGCCGCGGGGAAGCCCGGGUCGAGCCAUGAACUUGAGUAACGCUUAGGGUCGUACUAUCGAAGAUGGGUGCACGG